UACGGAGGAUCCAAGCGUUAUCCGGAAUCAUUGGGUUUAAAGGGUGCGCAGGCGGUUGGGUGUGUCAGAUGUGAAAUCCCGAGGCUCAACCUCGGAACUGCGUCUGAAACUACUCGACUAGAGUACUGGAGAGGGUAACGGAAUUCACGGUGUAGCAGUGAAAUGCGUAGAUAUCGUGAGGAACACCAGAGGCGAAGGCGGUUACCUGGACAGUUACUGACGCUCAGGCACGAAAGCAUGGGGAGCAAAAGGG
rnacentral:rRNA from 1 species